rnacentral:rRNA from 1 species
GACGAACGCUGGCGGCGUGCUUAACACAUGCAAGUCGAACGGAAAGGCGCUGCUUUUGCGGGGUGCUCGAGUGGCGAACGGGUGAGUAACACGUGAGUAACCUGCACUUGACUUUGGGAUAACUUCAGGAAAAUGGGGCUAAUACAGGAUAGGAGCUCCUGCUGCACGGUGGGGGAUGGAAAGAUUCGGCGGUUUGGGCUGGACUCGCGGGUUAUCAGCUUGUUGGUGGGGUAGUCGCUUACCAAGGCUAUGACGGGUAGGCCACCUUAGAGGUUGACCGGCCUCCUUGCUACUGAGAUACGCCGCAGUCUCCAACGUUCCGCAGCAGUGGAGAAUAUUACACAAUGGGCGCAAGUCUGAUACAGCAACGCUCCGUUCGUAAUGCUGUGCUACUGGUUGUAAACCUCUUUCUCCUGUGCUGAACCCUGAGUGACGGUACUGGGUAAAGAAGCACCGGCUAACUACGUG